rnacentral:rRNA from 1 species
AGAGUUUGAUCCUGGCUCAGGACGAACGCUGGCGGCGUGCCUAAUACAUGCAAGUCGAGCGAAUCUUAAGGUGCUUGCACCUUUUGGUUAGCGGCGGACGGGUGAGUAACACGUGGGCAACCUGCCUGUAAGACUGGGAUAACUUCGGGAAACCGGAGCUAAUACCGGAUAAUCCUUUUCCUCUCAUGAGGAAAAGUUGAAAGUCGGCUUACGCUGACACUUACAGAUGGGCCCGCGGCGCAUUAGCUAGUUGGUGAGGUAACGGCUCACCAAGGCGACGAUGSGUAGCCGACCUGAGAGGGKGAUCGGCCACACUGGGACUGAGACACGGCCCAGACUCCUACGGGAGGCAGCAGUAGGGAAUCUUCCSCAAUGGACGAAAGUCKGACGGAGCAACGCCGCGUGAGCGAUGAAGGCCUUCGGGUSGUAAAGCUCKGUUGUUAGGGAAGAACAAGUACCGGAGUAACUGCCGGUACCUUGACGGUACCUAACCAGAAAGCCACGGCUAACUACGUGCCAGCAGCCGCG